rnacentral:rRNA from 1 species
UACGGAGGGUGCAAGUGUUGUUCGGAUUUAUUGGGCGUAAAGCGCGUGUAGGCGGUUUCUUAAGUCUGAUGUGAAAGCCCCGGGCUCAACCCGGGAAGUGCAUUGGAUACUGGGAGACUUGAAUACGGGAGAGGGUAGUGGAAUUCCUAGUGUAGGAGUGAAAUCCGUAGAUAUUAGGAGGAACACCGGUGGCGAAGGCGGCUACCUGGACCGAUAUUGACGCUGAGACGCGAAAGCGUGGGGAGCAAACAGG